AGCGGCGGACGGGUGAGUAACGCGUGGGUAACCUGCCCUGUACACACGGAUAACAUACCGAAAGGUAUGCUAAUACGAGAUAAAAUACUUUUAUCGCAUGGUAGAAGUAUCAAAGCUUUUGCGGUACAGGAUGGACCCGCGUCUGAUUAGCUAGUUGGUAAGGUAACGGCUUACCAAGGCGACGAUCAGUAGCCGACCUGAGAGGGUGAUCGGCCACAUUGGAACUGAGACACGGUCCAAACUCCUACGGAAGGCAGCAG
rnacentral:rRNA from 1 species